AGACAACUCUCAACAACGGAUAUCUUGGCUCCCGUAACGAUGAAGAACGCAGCGAAAUGCGAUACGUAGUGUGAAUUGCAGAAUUCCGUGAACCAUCGAAUCUUUGAACGCAAAUUGCGCUCGAGGCUUCGGCAAAGAGCAUGUCUGCCUCAGCGUCGGCU
rnacentral:rRNA from 1 species